UGCAACGGAGGGCAGAACAGGCAGCUGCCGCCUGAAAGCGAGAUCGCAAAUGCUCGCUGUGUUGGAGAUGCCGGAAUGCCGACCGGCUCGUUGCG
ncrna:unclassified sequences skipping-rope RNA